GGCUAUGUCGGCUCUGAAGACUGGGGUUCGCUCCUACCGGUUCCUCUUCUCCAUCGAGAAGAGCUUCCCGGCCGACUUCACUGAAAUGUUGGCCCGAGCCCGGAAGUAUGCCAAGGCCGAGGAGGCAGUUGCCUCCGGGCGGGGGGCAAUUGAGCCCGCCUCCAAGAAGCAGAAGAAACGCCGCGAGGAGCGCGGCCGACAAAGGAGCCGAUCCCCCCGCCGAGAGAAGAACCUCCCCAGACUGAGAAGUCCGCCC
rnacentral:lncRNA from 1 species